AGAGUUUGAUCAUGGCUCAGGAUGAACGUUGGCGGCGUGCCUAACACAUGCAAGUCGAACGGGAAGCAGCCUUCGGGUUGUGGAGAGUGGCGGACGGGGGUGAGUAACACGUAGCUAACCUGCCCCGAAGGGGAGGAUAACCUCUGGAAACAGGGGCUAAUACUCCAUGAGCUUACAGAGUGUAGAGGUUUGUAAGGAAAGCUGAGGCGCUCUGGGAGGGGGCUGCGGUCCAUCAGCUAGAUGGUGUGGUAACGGCACACCAUGGCGACGACGGAUAGGGGACCUGAGAGGGUGACCCCCCACACUGGGACUGAGACACGGCCCAGACUCCUACGGGAGGCAGCAGUGAGGGAUAUUGCACAAUGGGCGCAAGCCUGAUGCAGCGACGCCGCGUGGGUGAAGAAGGCUUUCGGGUCGUAAAGCCCUUUUCUAGGUGACGAGGAAGGACGGUAGCCCAGGAAUAAGUCUCGGCUAACUACGUGCCAGCAGCCGCGGUAAAACGUAGGAGGCGAGCGUUAUCCGGAGUUACUGGGCGUAAAGCGCGUGCAGGCGGAUUGCUAAGUUGGUUAUGAAAGCUCCUGGCUAAACUGGGAGAGGUUGACCAAGACUGGCAGUCUAGAGUGGAUGAGAGGUAAACGGAAUUCCGCGUGUAGUGGUGAAAUGCGUAGAGAUGCGGAGGAACACCAGUGGCGAAGGCGGUUUACUGGCAUCCAACUGACGCUCAGACGCGAAAGCAUGGGUAGCGAACGGGAUUAGAAACCCCGGUAGUCCAUGCCGUAAACGAUGCACACUAGACGUUCGUCGUCGUGAAGGCGAUGAGUGUCGCAGCAAACGCGAUAAGUGUGCCGCCUGGGGAGUACGGUCGCAAGGCUAAAACUCAAAGGAAUUGACGGGGGCCCGCACAAGCAGCGGAGCGUGUGGUUUAAUUCGAGUGUACGCGAAGAACCUUACCUGGGUUUGACAUAUACGUGGUACGGAAGCGAAAGCUGAAGGACUCUUCGGAGAGCGUAUACAGGUGCUGCAUGGUUGUCGUCAGCUCGUGCCGUGAGGUGUUCGGUUAAGUCCGCAAACGAGCGCAACCCUUGUCGUUAGUUACAAGUGUCUAGCGAGACUGCCCGUGGCAAACGGGAGGAAGGUGUGGAUGACGUCAAAUCAGCAUGGCCUUUAUAUCCAGGGCUACACACACGCUACAAUGGCGUAUACAGUGGGUCGCUAAGCCGCGAGGUGGAGCCAAUCCCCCAAAGUACGUCGUAGUUCGGAUUGCAGGCUGCAACUCGCCUGCAUGAAGUAGGAGUUGCUAGUAACCGCGUAUCAGCACGGCGCGGUGAAUACGUUCCCGGGCCUUGUACACACCGCCCGUCACUCAAUGGGAGCUGGUUACGCCUGAAGUCGGGAGUCCAACCGCAAGGGGGAUACCGCCGAGGGCAGGACGGGUGACUGGGACGAAGUCGUAACAAGGUAGCCGUA
rnacentral:rRNA from 1 species